rnacentral:rRNA from 1 species
AUUGAACGCUGGCGGCAUGCCUUACACAUGCAAGUCGAACGGUAACAGGUCUUCGGAUGCUGACGAGUGGCGAACGGGUGAGUAAUACAUCGGAACGUGCCCGAUCGUGGGGGAUAACGAGGCGAAAGCUUUGCUAAUACCGCAUACGAUCUACGGAUGAAAGCGGGGGAUCUUCGGACCUCGCGCGGACGGAGCGGCCGAUGGCAGAUUAGGUAGUUGGUGGGAUAAAAGCUUACCAAGCCGACGAUCUGUAGCUGGUCUGAGAGGAUGAUCAGCCACACUGGGACUGAGACACGGCCCAGACUCCUACGGGAGGCAGCAGUGGGGAAUUUUGGACAAUAGGCGAAAGCCUGAUCCAGCCAUGCCGCGUGCAGGAUGAAGGCCUUCGGGUUGUAAACUGCUUUUGUACGGAACGAAAAGCCUCUUUCUAAUAAAGAGGGGUCGUGACGGUACCGUAAGAAUAAGCACCGGCUAACUACGUG